rnacentral:rRNA from 1 species
GACGAACGCUGGCGGCGUGCUUAACACAUGCAAGUCGAGCGGUAAGGCCCUUUCGGGGGUACACGAGCGGCGAACGGGUGAGUAACACGUGGGUGACCUGCCCUCAGCUCUGGGAUAAGCCUGGGAAACCGGGUCUAAUACUGGAUAUGACUCCAUGACGCAUGUUGUGGGGUGGAAAGCCUUGUGCGGCUGAGGAUGGGCCCGCGGCCUAUCAGCUUGUUGGUGGGGUGANGGGCCUACCAAGGCGACGACGGGUAGCCGGCCUGAGAGGGCGACCGGCCACACUGGGACUGAGACACGGCCCAGACUCCUACGGGAGGCAGCAGUGGGGAAUAUUGGACAAUGGGCGAAAGCCUGAUCCAGCGAUGCCGCGUGUGUGAAGAAGGCCUGCGGGUUGUAAAGCACUUUCAAGUAGGGAAGAAAGCCGAGUGCCAAUACCACUCGGUCUUGACGUUACCUAAAGAAGAAGCACCGGCUAACUCCGUGCCAGCCGCCGCGGU